rnacentral:rRNA from 1 species
UACGAAGGGGGCAAGCGUUGUUCGGAAUUACUGGGCGUAAAGGGCGCGUAGGCGGCUUAUCAAGUCAGGCGUGAAAUUCCCGGGCUCAACCUGGGGGCUGCGCUCGAUACUGAUUGGCUUGAAUGCGGGAGAGGAUAGUGGAAUUCCCAGUGUAGAGGUGAAAUUCGUAGAUAUCAGGAGGAACACCAGUGGCGAAGGCGGCUUUCUGGACGGUAACUGACGCUGAGACGCGAAAGCGUGGGGAGCAAACAGG